AAGAAGGGAAAGGGACCUGUAUGUGCACGAAUGUUUGUGGCAGCCCUUUUUGUAGUGGCUAAAAACUGGAAACUGAAUGGAUGUCCAUCAGUUGGAGAAUGGCUGAAUAAAUUGUGGUAUAUGAAUAUUAUGGAAUAUUACUGUACCAACAAGACAAUUUCAGAAAGGCCUGGAGAGACUUCCACGAACUGAUGCUGAGUGAAAUGAGCAGGACCAGGAGAUCAUUAUAUACUUCAACAACAAUACUAUAGGAUGACCAGUUCUGAUGGACCAGGCCAUCCUCAGCAACGAGAUCAACCAAAACAUUUCCAAUGGAGCAGUAAUAAACUGAACCAGCUAUGCCCAGAAAAAGAACUCUGGGAGAUGACUAAAAACCAUUACAUUGAAUUCCCAAUCCCUAUAUUUAUGCACACCUGCAUUUUUGAUUUCCUUCACAAGCUAAUUGUACAAUAUUUCAGAGUCUGAUUCUUUUUCUACAGCAAAAUAACGUUUUGGUCAGGUAUACUUAUUGUGUAUCUAAUUUAUAUUUUAAUAUAUUUAACAUCUACUGGUCAUCCUGCUAUCUAGGGAGGGGGGGGGGGUAAGAGGUGAAAAAUUGGAACAAGAGGUUUGGCAAUUGUUAAUGCUGUAAAGUUACCCAUGCAUAUAUCCUGUAAAUAAAAGGCUAUUAAAUAAAAAAAUAAAAAAUAAUAAAAAAAGAAAUCAAGCCAUUUCCCAAUUAAUAAAUGGUCAAAGGAUAUGAAUAAUUUUCAGAUAAAGAAAUUGAAUCUAUUUCUACUCAUAUGAAAAAGUGUUCCAAAUCAUCAUUGAUCAGAGAAAGGUAAAUUAAGACACCUUUCAGAUUGGCUAAGAUGACAGAAAAAGAUAAUGACGAAUGUCGGAAGGGAUAGGGGAAAACUGGGACACUGAUGCAUUGUUGGUGGAGUUGUGAAUGGAUCCAACUAUUCUGGAGAACAAUUUGGAACUAUACUCAAAAAAGUUAUCAAACUGUGCAUACCUUUUGUUCUAGCAGUGUUACUACUGAGCUUAUAUUCCAAAGAGAUAUUAAAGAAGGGAAAGGGACCCAUAUGUGCAAAAAUCUUUGUGGCAGCCCUUUUGUAGUGGCUAGAAACUGGAAAUUAAAUGGAUGCCCAUCAUUUGAAGAAUGGCUAAAUAAAUUGUGGCAUAGGAACGUUAUAGAAUGUUAUUGUUCUAUAAGAAAUGACCAGCAGGAUGAAUAUAGAGAGGUUUGGAGAGACGUAGUGAACUGAUGCUGAAUGAAAUGAGAAGAACCAGGAGAUAAUUAUACACUUCAACAAUAAUACUAUAUGAGGAUCAAUUCUGAUGGACGUGGCUCUCUUCAACAAGGGAUCCAAAUCAGUUCCAAUUGAUCUGUAAUGAACAGAACCAUCUAUACCCAGAGAAAGAACACUGGCAAAUGAGUGUGGACCACAACAUAGAAUUUCCACUCUUUUUGUUAUUGUUUCCUUGCAUUUUUCUUUUUCUUCUCAGGUUAUUUUUACCUUCUUUCUAAAUCUGGUAAUUCUUGUGCAGCAAGAUAAGUAUAGAAAUAUGUAUACCUAUAUUGUAUUUAAUAUAUACUUUAACAUAUCUAACAUGUAUGGGACUAUCUGCCAUCUAAGGGAGGGAGUGGGGGGAAGGAAGGGAAAAGUUGGAACAGAAGGUUUUGCAAGGGUCAGUGUUGAAAAAUUACCCAUGCAUAUGUUUUGUCAAUGAAAAGCUAUAAUAAAAAAAAAAUUCCUAAUCCUAUACUUGUUUUAUUGGAUACAGUUGCUUCACAUUUGAUAACUUAAUAUAGGUUUUUAGAUGUGACCAAUAUACAAUGCCAAUGUUGAGAUAAAUGAUUUUUAUUUAUUUGUGUGUGUAUGUGUGUGUAUAAAGUAAUUUGGAAACAAAUUCAACUAAAUUAAAUCACCAGCCUGUUCUCCCCAGGACUAGAAGGAUAGUGCAUAGUAGAAAGACUGUCUCUUUCUUUUUCUAUCCCCUUCCUUCCUUUUUUGACUGCAGCAGGGAUAUAUGAAUGAAGUGAUGAGAGAGAAAAAGAAAAUAUAUUCAGUUCAGUGAAAUUCAGUAUUUG
rnacentral:lncRNA from 1 species